AGUGAACGCUGGCGGCGUGCCUAACACAUGCAAGUCGAACGAUGAUGGAUGAGCCUGCUCAUCCUGAUUAGUGGCGCACGGGUGAGUAUACCAUAGAUAAUGUACCCCUUAGUUCGGGAUAGCCACUGGAAACGGUGAUUAAUACCGGAUACUCCUUCUUGCCAUAAGGUAAGUCGGGAAAGUUUUUUCGCUAAGGGAUCAGUCUAUGUCCUAUCAGGUAGUUGGUGAGGUAACGGCUCACCAAGCCUAUGACGGGUAUCUGGUUUGAGAGGAUGAUCAGACACACUGGAACUGAGACACGGUCCAGACUCCUACGGGAGGCAGCAGUGAGGAAUAUUGCACAAUGGAGGAAACUCUGAUGCAGCAACGCCGCGUGGAGGAUGACGCAUUUCGGUGUGUAAACUCCUUUUAAGAGGGAAGAUUAUGACGGUACCUCUUGAAUAAGCACCGGCUAACUCCGUGCCAGCCGCCGCGGUAA
rnacentral:rRNA from 1 species